UAGGGAAUCUUCGGCAAUGGACGAAAGUCUGACCGAGCAACGCCGCGUGAGUGAAGAAGGUUUUCGGNUCGUAAAACUCUGUUGGUAGAGAAGAACGUUGGUGAGAGUGGAAAGCUCAUCAAGUGACGGUAACUACCCAGAAAGGGACGGCUAACUACGUGCCCG
rnacentral:rRNA from 1 species